rnacentral:rRNA from 1 species
AUGGCGGCGGCGGAUCGAAACUCCGGCGCCGAAUCGCUUGGAGGAGCGCCCCCCGACGUGCUGGGCGGCGGAGAUGCUGUCUUCGUUGAGGUUGAUAACUGGCUUGGCAGCAGUUCCUUUGCGGUGGAAAACCAAUCCCAGCCUCAAUCUCAGCCGUCCCAGACGAUUGUGAGGCGGCGUGUGGCAGCAGCGUCGAAGAGAAGAAGCGCAGCUCGAGGCCGGCGCAAGCUUCCUUGUCCUGCUGGCGGCGCGAGUAUUGAUGACCCAAAGUGGGAAAUUUGGUUCCAUUUCUUAGCCAGAGAAUCUGUGUGUAGAAGAAUUUACCAGUCAGACAUAUCAUUUUUGACUAUGGUUUCUCUUAUUCGGAGUGAGGGCUAUGGAGCUGAUGAUUAUAUGUACUAUGUUAUCGAUGAGGAGAAAGGAAUAGAAGGUAUGGAGCAUCUUGAUUCUGAACAUGAUGUGCAGCAAAUGUUAAUUCACUUUGAGAAGGAAACGAGUGUGAACAUACGAGUUGUGAGGGCAGAUGAGCCAUGUAAUGAAGAUGAAAAUAGAGAUAGUUAUUUUGCUCAACAUUGCAUUAACACUCAACAAAGUUGCACAAAGUUGGUGGAUGCAGUGAGUGACAGAAAGGAUGAGCUUAAGCAAAGUAGUCUGCAGAUGGAAGCUGACUUUAACCAUUUUGAAGGUGACACUGAUGUGUCUGAAUUUCUUUCUGAUGAUGCGCAGUCAGGUCCAGAUGACAACAAUGUGCAAUUACAUCCAGGUUCUCCCUCAGAAGAAGAAGCUGCAGAAGUAGAUACAUCAGUGGUCCAGAAACUUAAGCCAGUCAGAAACCAUGGUCCAACCAGUAGAUCCCACCAAGAGGUUGAGAAAGAGGUAAAACCAGACUGGUUUCCUGAAGCAAAUGAAUUUUGUUUUCCUGGUGAUGUUGGCAUUAGUGAUGAAGAAGAAGAGCCUGAAGGAGCUUUCAAACUAGCAAGUGGCAGGAAGAGAGUGUUGAAGAAGACAAAGGAUAGGGUAUGGUUCAAUGAGAAGCUUCCAGAUCCACAUGAACAGUUUUGUAAGGGAUUGUGCUUCACCACUGUUUAUGAGUUCAGAGAUGCACUUAGGGAUUUUCACAUCAGGACUCUGAGGAAUUUCCAGUAUCACAGAAAUGCACCUGAUAGGAUUAUUGUUUGGUGCUCAGAGAGAGCCCAUGGAUGUGAUUUUCACAUCAGUGCAUCUAAGAUAGCUCAUGAAAAAACUUUCUGCAUCAAGAAGUGUGAUAUGCUGCAUACUUGUGGAGCAUGUGCAGAGAGUACAAAGGUUACUACAAAGUGGUUGUCCAAAUCAGUACAACCAGCAUUGAGAGAAGACAUUAGAUCUCCUGUGGAUGCAUUAAUAAAGAAGACUAAGACUAAAUUCUCAGUUGAUGUUUCAAGAAGUGUUGCCUAUAGGGCAAGGAGGAAUGCUGUUGGUGUGGUGCAGGGUGACCACAAGCAGCAGUAUUUGAGGCCGAGGGAUUAUCUUCAAGCUGUUCUUGAUACAAACCCUGGGAGCAGGUGUAUUGUCACAACAUUUGUUGACCCAGAAAACCCUGCACCCACUCCUAGAUUCAAGUACAUGUUCUACUGUUUGGCAGCUUCAAAGGAAGGGUUUCUUAAUGGUUGUAGACCAUUUAUAGGUAAAUAUUUCCUGUCCUGGUUGUGUUGUACAUAUUUGUGUGUCAAUUUCCUUUGGUAG